UUAGAAAAAUGCAAAUUAAAACCAAAAUGAAAUACCAUUACUAACCUGAUAUAAUGGCUCAAAUUAAAAAAAAACUAUUAUUAAAUGCUGGUGAAGAAGAGAAGCAACUAGAACAUUGCUAGUGGGAAUGCAAAGUGAUAAGCCACUUUGAACAGUUUGAAAGUUUCGUAUGACGGUACAUGCACACUUAUGAGACCCAGCAAUUCCAAGAGAAUAAAGACAUAGGUCCAUAGACAAAACAUCUUUAUAUGAAUAUUUAUGGCUAGAAAUAAUCCAAAUAUACAUCAACUGAGGAAUGAAUCAACUGUGGAAUAUCCAUGCAAUAGAUGACUACCUAACAAUACAAAUGAACAAGCUACUAAAACAUGCAGGACCUGGACCUGUGACAGGCUAAAUGUCACUGUCUUUGACUCAUGGAUCUGACACAAACUAAGUGGCUCUGGAUAAUUCGUGGACACUCUCAGAUUCAAUCUCGCAGUAGUUUAAGUAUGACUUACCUAAGUUUCAAAACAACACCAUAAAGCAGUCAUUAAUACCCUCAUUUUCAGGUGAGAAACCUCUUUACACGGGUUUUUGCCCUCGUCCCGGGGUUACAGGUGGCAGAGCUAGAAUUUACCCAGGUCUUUCGGUCUCCAGAGCUGGGGUCUUGCCACAGACCCAGCGCCCACAAGUUCUGGCACUUUGGUCAGCCUUAUACACCGGCUCUCCUCUGCCGCCUCCGGCAUGGGCUUUUUACAAUCAAUGAGCACCUGUUUUUUUUUUUUUUUUUUUUUUGAGACGGAGUUUUGCUCUUGUUACCCAGGCUGGAGUGCAAUGGCGUGAUAUCGGCUCACUGCAACCUCUGCCUCCUGAGAUCAGGCAAUUCUCCUGCCUCAGCCUCCUGGGUAGCUGGGAUUACAGGCACGCGCCACCAUGCUCAGCUAAUUUUUUGUAUUUUUAGUAGAGACGGGGUUUCACCAUGUUGACCAGGAUGGUCUCCAUCUCUUGACCUCGUGAUCCACCCGCCUCGGCCUCCCAAAGUGCUGGGAUUACAGGCUUGAGCCACAGCGCCC
rnacentral:lncRNA from 13 species